rnacentral:lncRNA from 1 species
GUAGUUAUCAAAACUCUAUUGUUCACAAAAUUAAUUUCAUUCGAACUUGUUCAACGCUAGGGUUCGUUGGAGGCGGCUUGAAGAGUGAGGAAGAUUCUUCAUACCUUUCAUCUCGGUGAGUUCUAAUUUGCUGGAAUUUUAUUUGAUUGAUAAUAUUCAUGUUCGAUUACAUACGAAGAUUUUGCUGGAAUUCAAAAUUUACGAUUUUGACAAAAAAAGAUGCGAAUUAUACUGAAUAUAUCUCUUCACAUUCCAGUUGAUUUAUGUGAUUUUGCUGGAAUUCAAAAUUUACGAUUUUGACAAAAAAAGAUGCGAAUUAUACUGAAUAUAUCUCUUCACAUUCCAGUUGAUUUAUCUGGUGAAUUCUUACAACUUAGGAUUGAUAUAUAAAAUUCUGUUGAACUAAGGAGUAUUGUUCGAUGAACUGUAUAUUGCGCGAUUGUGUGUGUGAUAUUGUUUUUUAUGUUUACAAGGUAUGUCUACUGUACAUGGUGACGUCUUGGUUAUCAAAGGUAUGAAAAACGUGGAAAAAUCAAUAUUUUGCUAGAUAUUGGUCAAUUGUGUAAUAUUAUUUUCAUCUGUUUAUAGACACAUCGAGUGAUACAUCUGGUUCUCCUAUGAGGAAGCGUGCAAAGGGUAUUUAUAGACGUCGUACAAAUGAGUCGAAAGGUCAUAGUUAUUUUUCAGUUUUACAAUUCAUGAGUAUUUUGUAUUACUUUAUGUUAAUAAUAUUUCGUAUUCAUCAUAUCUCACAGGAAGACUAUACUAAAUCCGCCUGGCUUGGCUCGUCGUUCGGAAGUAGUGGACUUGACAAUAGACGAUCUGCGCGGUAUUUUUUUGACACGUUGGCUAUUAGUUUAAUUUGAAUAUUCAAAAGUUAGCAUGAUUGUUACUUUCAUUAACUAAUCCACUGAUACAACAAGAACAGAGCCAUGUUUGGUAACAGGUGAAUUUGCAUACACCGUCGAUGGGGGAAUGGCUGUUUCGUCGAACGAUAACGGAUGUCCUAGUUGAGCUAAAAAACAAAACGUACAACCAGGGCGUUCUGUUCGUAAAAUUAAACUUCCAGCGUUGAAAACACGAACGACUCUUUCGUCCUUCCACGAAGCUUUGCUACAAUUGAAUGAUGCUCAGCGACGUUCAGUAACACAACUAGGGUUUGGGCGUAUACUUGAGAUGAAGGUGAAAGAAUUACCGGGCAGGUUAGCUUUUUGGGUAUUGUCAAAAUUCAACACACGAACAGGUGAGUUGGUUGUAAGUAGUGAUAAAAGAGUGAAGGUUACUGAGAACGAUGUUUACAGAGUUUUUGGGUUCCCUAAAGGUAAGGUUACAAUCAAGAUAUUCGAACGACAAUCAACCAGCGAACUAUUUGAUCAAUGGUUUUCAUUUUUUG